AUGGCCCCACCCACCACACCCUUUCCUCCUCAACUGAUACUGUAGACUCAAGCAAAUAUCUCAUGGAAAUAGGCCAGGGUGGAUCUCCCAACCUAAGAUCCUACUGUCACACUGCUGAGGAAACUAAAUACCCCUUAAUGUGUAGAGGAAGAAACCUGAAGUUAAAGUGUAAGGAGGAAUGAAGUCAGCUUCGAAGCUUCACUCUUGGCUGUGAGAAAAGACGGAUCUCUAGCAAAAAAUAAAACUCCAUGGGCUUUGGAAUUACCCUGAGAG
rnacentral:lncRNA from 1 species